rnacentral:rRNA from 1 species
UACGUAGGGUGCAGGCGUUAAUCGGAAUACUGGGCGUAAAGCGUGCGCAGGCGGUUAUGUAAGACAGGUGUGAAAUCCCCGGGCUUAACCUGGGAACUGCAUUUGUGACUGCAUAGCUAGAGUACGGUAGAGGGAUGGAAUUCCGCGUGUAGCAGUGAAAUGCGUAGAUAUGCGGAGGAACACCGAUGGCGAAGGCAAUCCCUGGACCUGUACUGACGCUCAUGCACGAAAGCGUGGGGAGCAAACGAGGAUUAGAAGUACCCGGG